rnacentral:ncRNA from 1 species
CACCGAUAAAGGCAAACCAUUCGAAAGGAUGGGACGCAAAGCCAAAGGGCCUAAUGCUGUAAAAGCAAGGGCAGCCGAGCUACCGAA